rnacentral:rRNA from 1 species
CCUACGGGGGGCAGCAGUGGGGAAUAUUGGACAAUGGGGGCAACCCUGAUCCAGCCAUGCCGCGUGUGUGAAGAAGGCCCUCGGGUUGUAAAGCACUUUCAGUGAGGAAGAACGCCUGGUGGUUAAUACCCAUCAGGAAAGACAUCACUCACAGAAGAAGCACCGGCUAACUCCGUGCCAGCAGCCGCGGUAAUACGGAGGGUGCGAGCGUUAAUCGGAAUUACUGGGCGUAAAGCGCGCGUAGGUGGCUUGAUAAGCCGGUUGUGAAAGCCCCGGGCUCAACCUGGGAACGGCAUCCGGAACUGUCAAGCUAGAGUGCAGGAGAGGAAGGUAGAAUUCCCGGUGUAGCGGUGAAAUGCGUAGAGAUCGGGAGGAAUACCAGUGGCGAAGGCGGCCUUCUGGACUGACACUGACACUGAGGUGCGAAAGCGUGGGUAGCAAACAGGAUUAGAUUCCCCAGUAGUC